rnacentral:rRNA from 1 species
UACGGAGGGGGCUAGCGUUGUUCGGAAUUACUGGGCGUAAAGCGCGCGUAGGCGGACCUGCAAGUCGGGGGUGAAAGCCCGAGGCUCAACCUCGGAACUGCCUUCGAUACUGCGGGUCUCGAGUCCGGGAGAGGUGAGUGGAAUUCCUAGUGUAGCGGUGAAAUGCGUAGAGAUUAGGAAGAACACCAGUGGCGAAGGCGACUUACUGGACUGUAACUGACGCUGAGGCAUGAAAGCGUGGGGAGCAAACAGG